UGCAUCUGUAGCUCAGCUGGAUAGAGCGUCGGACUUCGAAUCCGCAGGUCGCACGUUCGAAUCGUGUCAGAUGCAA
rnacentral:tRNA from 1 species